GAUGGAACGCUAGCGGCAGGCUUAACACAUGCAAGUCGAACGAACCCUUCGGGGUGAGUGGCGCACGGGUGCGUAACACGUGGGAAUUUACACUUCGGUAAGGAACGACACAGAGAAAUUUGUGCUAAUACCUUAUAAUGACUCCGGUCCAAAGAUUUAUCGCCGAGGGAUAAGCCCGCGCUAGAUUAGUUUGUUGGUGAGGUAAGAGCUCACCAAGACUACGAUCUAUAGCUGGUCUUAGAGGAUGAUCAGCCACACUGGAACUGAGACACGGUCCAG
rnacentral:rRNA from 1 species